GGAGAAGGGCCAUAGCUCAGGGGUUGGAGCACCUGCCUUGCAAGCAGAAGGUUCUUGGUUGGAUGCCCGAUGGCGCCUCUCCA